rnacentral:siRNA from 1 species
GAGGAAACGAGAGUCAGGGGAG